rnacentral:rRNA from 1 species
GACGAACGCUGGCGGCGUGCUUAACACAUGCAAGUCGAACGGAAAGGCCCUGCUUUUGUGGGGUGCUCGCGUGGCGAACGGGUGAGUAACACGUGAGUAACCUGCCCUUGACUUUGGGAUAACUUCAGGAAACUGGGGCUACUACCGGAUAGGAGCUCCUGCUGCAUGGUGGGGGUUGGAAAGUUUCGGCGGUUGGGGAUGGACUCGCGGCUUAUCAGCUUGUUGGUGGGGUAGUGGCUUACCAAGGCUUUGACGGGUAGCCGGCCUGAGAGGGUGACCGGCCACAUUGGGACUGAGAUACGGCCCAGACUCCUACGGGAGGCAGCAGUGGGGAAUAGUGCACAAUGGGCGGAAGCCUGAUGCAGCAACGCCGCGUGCGGGAUGACGGCCUUCGGGUUGUAAACCGCUUUCGCCUGUGACGAAGCGUGAGUGACGGUAAUGGGUAAAGAAGCACCGGCUAACUACGUG